rnacentral:lncRNA from 1 species
CGAGAGGUUGUGGCGGAUGCUGUUCUGCCAGCCCUGCUUGUUCUCCCGGUAGAAGGGGAAGCGGUCCAUGAUGAACUGGUAGAUGCCGUUCAAGGUUUCCUUGCACCCUUCCUGGCUGUUCAUCGGCUGCGUAUUCGAUUCUCAGCAAAAGGAUGUUGAGACAACCCACCAGGCCUCUUCGCUUCGGCCUCUUCGCUUCGGGGAGGCGACUAGAAGGCAAUGGGGCGUGCCACUUAUUUCCAAUAAAAGAACAGAAGACGAAAAUGUAGAUGCAUUAUCUUUGUCUCCUGAUCAAUUCAAAGCCAAAGGGAAGCUACAAAUCAGGUUCCUUUACCUUGAAUAUUCCACUUCUGAAACAUUGUUUUUAUGAGUAUUCUGGGCUCUUUUUCUAACCUGAUCCUUUUUCUUCUUUCUUUGAAACAAAGUAAAAUAAAGCUGCCCAGUUCUCAGCUCACAGGCAAAUGAUUUGAGCUUUCUGCCCCAACCCUAAACUCCCAC